rnacentral:tRNA from 1 species
AGGAUUAUAUUUAAUUAUAAUAUUUGAUUUGCAUUCAAAAGGUGUUUAACAACUAAUCUUA